UGGGGAAUAUUGGACAAUGGGCGAAAGCCUGAUCCAGCCAUGCCGCGUGGAUGAUGAAGGCCUUAGGGUUGUAAAGUCCUUUCGGCGGGGAAGAUAAUGACGGUACCCGCAGAAGAAGCCCCGGCUAACUUCGUGCCAGCAGCCGCGGUAAUACGAAGGGGGCUAGCGUUGCUCGGAAUCACUGGGCGUAAAGCGCACGUAGGCGGCUUCUUAAGUCAGGGGUGAAAUCCUGGAGCUCAACUCCAGAACUGCCUCUGAUACUGAGGCGCUUGAGUCCGGGAGAGGUGAGUGGAACUCCGAGUGUAGAGGUGAAAUUCGUAGAUAUUCGGAAGAACACCAGUGGCGAAGGCGACUGACUGGACAAGUAUUGACGCUGAGGUACGAAGGCGUGGGGAGCAAACAGGAUUAGAUACCCCGGUAGUCCCUGAGCGGGCUGGCAAGGCGCAU
rnacentral:rRNA from 1 species